rfam:Brachyspira sp. CAG:700 genomic scaffold, scf495
UAAUGGGCUUCUGCGGCAAUUCCUGAUGAAUCCGCCAGGUUCGGAAGGAAGCAACGGUAAGUCAAUCGAAUUGGGCGCCAGUUUGCCUAUUAUAA